rnacentral:rRNA from 1 species
UACGUAGGGUGCGAGCGUUAAUCGGAAUUACUGGGCGUAAAGCGUGCGCAGGCGGUCUGUUAAGACAGAUGUGAAAUCCCCGGGCUUAACCUGGGAACUGUAUUUGUGACUGGCAGGCUAGAGUAUGGCAGAGGGGGGUAGAAUUCCACGUGUAGCAGUGAAAUGCGUAGAGAUGUGGAGGAAUACCGAUGGCGAAGGCAGCCCCCUGGGCCAAUACUGACGCUCAUGCACGAAAGCGUGGGGAGCAAACAGG